GCGUUUGCUCCCGUUUGGUGGGUGUGAUCACUUGAAAUCGCAAAACUCGUGCAGCACACAGCAUACAAUCUCUCUCUGGCCCACAUAAUCACAUCGGUAUUAAACUGGUCGUUCAGUACAUGAUCGUUUCCGUUGAAUUAAACUUUCAAUACCAUUCUGUCAUACUGAACGCACCCCUGAUCCCAUGGCAACGGUGCAUGGAACAUUAGUUCCUAAGCAACAUUGUAGUGAAAGUUCUUUUUUGCUCGCUGCUACUGGUCAAGUGACCUAGCUAGCUAUGAAGUUCACCCAUACUUUUCUUGCAAGUCAAGACGUGUUUUUCAUUCAAAGUUCUACCCAGGAUGUGCCCAGCAUUGAAGACAGACACAGAGAUACUGAGGCCAUCAGAGGAUGUCAAUGAGAGACUCAUCCUGCACCACCUACAGCACUAUGGACUCUUUACAAGCACAGAGAAUUCUUUCCAAAGCAACCUCUUAAGACAAAGAUGGAGGGAUUCCCACCACCCCGGAUCCAUCCACCCAGGCACCCACUCCUCUGACAGCAAUAAUUCCAACAUGGAGGAUGAGGAGCAGGAGCCUGGCAGGAGGGCAUUCACCUUGCACCUGGGACAGGCCCUCAGGACCAGGCAGCUGGUAAUAGAUUUUGACGGGGAGCGUCCCAUCCCCCGGCUUAGGGAGCCCCUGGACCUGUUUGCCAUCCCCUCCACCCCUUUCCAGGGGGUCCGCUGGCCCAUUGAGUAUGAGGUCUUCAAGGAAGCCAUACACCACAUAGAGUGGGACCCUCCAGACCCAGAGCCGUUCUACCAGCCCACGGGCCAUGAGAGGGCCCCCAUGCCUGUCGGGGAGGAAAAGGGGAAUGUGGUUUACUGCAUUGACCCAGGCACAAAGACCUCCUACUUCACCUACUCUCGUGUGGGAGGAAGCCGGGGGCCCAUCAAGAGCUCCACCUCUUUUGCCAUGCAUCAGGACAAGUCCACCCUGGCCUUUGAAUCACGCUUCGAGAGCGGCAACCUGCAGAAGGCAGUUCAAGUCGGUGUCCAUGACUAUGAGCUCACCCUCCGCACCGACAUGUACACCACCAAGCACACGCAGUGGUUCUACUUCCGGGUCAGAAACAUGAAGGCGGGGGUCACCUAUCGCUUCACCAUAGUCAACUUGAUGAAGGCUAGCAGUCUGUACUGCCUGGGCAUGAGGCCUCUGCUCUACUCUGAAAGAGCCGCCUGGGAGAAGGGAGAGGGCUGGCGCCGAACUGGCUCUAACAUUAGAUACUACCGCAACCAGCACCACCAGGCUGAGCAGGACAACAACACUACCACCAACACAGAGUCCCUCCACUCCCUUACCUGGACUGGCCAGUUCCCCUACGACUCAGACACCUGCUAUUUGGCCCACUGUUACCCUUACACCUACUCCCACCUGCAGCGCUACCUCAGCCGCCUCACCUCCAACUCAGCCACCGGCGCCUACUGCAAGCUGCGGGUGCUGUGCCGCAGCCUGGCCGGCAACGCUGUGCACGUGCUGACAGUGACGUCACCAGGAGGGGGGUGGAUGGAUAGGAGUGCCAAGCGGGCGGUGGUGGUGACAGCCAGGGUGCACCCCGGGGAGACCAACAGCUCCUGGAUGAUGCAGGGCUUCCUGGACUUCCUGCUGGGAGAGUCAGACGAUGCCAGGCUGCUGAGGGAGACUUUUGUGUUUAAGGUGGUGCCCAUGCUGAACCCAGACGGGGUGGUUGUGGGGAACUACCGCUGCUCUCUGGCCGGCAGGGACCUGAACAGGAACUACAAUACCCUGCUGAGGGACUCCUUCCCCUGUGUCUGGCACACCAGGAACAUGGUCAAGAGACUGAUGGCUGAGAGGGACGUGGUGUUGUAUUGUGAUUUCCACGGUCACAGUCGUAAGAACAACGUCUUCAUGUACGGCUGUACCAACAGCGACGAUGCCACACAACGACUCCAUGAGAGAGUCUUCCCGCUCAUGAUGAGCAAGAACGCCAAUGACAAGUUCUCGUUCAGGAGCUGUAAGUUCAGGGUUCAUCAGAGUAAAGAGGGAACAGGACGCGUCGUCAUGUGGAGGCUAGGCAUCAGGAACAGCUACACCAUGGAGUCCACCUUCGGAGGCUCCACUCUGGGGAACAGGAAGGGGACCCAUUUCACCACCAGGGACCUGAAGUCUCUGGGGUAUUACUUAUGUGACACACUGCUGGACUACUGUGAUCCCGACCCAACCAAGACCAGUCACUGCCUAGCCGAGUUGCGGGCGAUGUUAAGGCAGGAGGUCAGAGAGAGGCUGGGCCGGGAGGUUGACUCUGAUGGAUCUCUCAGCGUCUCCAUUUCUGACAUUGAGUCCAGUACCAGCGGCUCAAACAGCACAGAGUCUGAUGGCCUGCCUGUCCAUCUACUGAACCGAAUUGAUGAGCAGAGCCAAGCGAAGAAGAAGCAACUGAGGAGUAGUAAGGAGAGGAACAGACUGAGACAGGAGAGAAUGAGGAACGUCGACCCAAAGGUCAUCCACAGGAACAUCAAGAACAUAGACCCUGUGCUACCCACUGAGGACAUGGUGAAGGUGAGGAUCGAGGAAAAGACGGUGGCUGUGGUCAGAGAGAAGAAGAAGAAGAGAGAGGUGCCGUUUGUGGUGACAGUGAGCCGUCAGACAGGACGCUCCUGGAUCCCCCAUCCCACCACUCGCAUCGGGGUCAUAGGCCAUGUGACCCUCUGGCAGGAGGAGGAGUCAGAGAAGAAUGAAUACCUGGACGCUGUAAGGGCUGCAUACCUGCGUACUCAGCCACCUGUCACAGAGGAGCCGGAGGAGGAGCGGCUGCAGUAUUGGAGUCCCCAGCUGCAGUUUGGCUCCUCCCAGGCCCCGUGGCCGGGACCUCAGCGUCGCCCCUUAUCUUUUACAGCCAUACAGCAACGUGGCUUCUCUGUGCCUGUGCCCACCUCGAAGAUCAGGGUUCACACCACCCCCAUUCAGCAGCAACCCAUACCCUUCAGCCCCGAUCACAGAAGCCACGCUGGGAUGAAAGAGAGGAUGCCUGCUUUACACACCAGGUCUUCCCCAGUAGUUCCGGGCAUGCAGUGCAGGGUGGUCCCUGAGUUCAUCCUGCCACAAGGCCUGGAGCCCUGCCGCUCUUCCAACGUCUACCCAGCCAAGUCCCACCACCAGUGGCCACGCCCAGAGAAACAAGGCCACGCAGCCCGGGUCUCCAUACGCUAUUACAUGCCAGAGGCUCCGACCUCUAACACAGACGCCCUGGAGCCCCUACGGAGGAGCCCAGAAAGGGACUGCACAGCAGGUGUAUCAGGCGCUAUGCCUGUGGGUGAGCAGGACCAGAGUGGACCUCAAGCAGCCUUUGAGAAGCCACUGAGUAAACCUGGGACAGACGGUAACUCCUUCCUGCCAGACCUGAGGCACAUAGACUUCAGAGGGAAAAGCCAUGGCCGUCUAUGGGGGGACCAGGCAGGGGCUGGAGUACAGAGGCAGGGCCCCUCAAAGAGAGAGCCGCUGAGGGGGGGAGAAGGCAGGCGUGUGUGUGGAGGAGAUGCAGCAGCAAGGCGUGUGAAAAGCAACCACAGGUUGGCCCAACAGACAUUGCAAGAGGAGGAUAAACAGGAAAUGGGCAUUUUACCCCAGAUGUCCUCGACCACCCUCACCAAGAUAGAUCAUCCGCCCCCACAGCUAGACAGUCUACGUAGGCUCCAGAAACUCAGCCUGGCCAAGACCUCCAGGUUCCACUCCAGUGGGAGAGGGGAGGAAGCAGGGACAGGGAUGGAUCUGGAGAAGAGGAUGGUUGCCAGACCGUCAGGGUCUGCCCCUCCUCGCAGUACAGCACCUUUGAGCUGAGAACCAGGCAGGGACACACAUUGACAAAUGUACCAGACAGACUGCUGAUAUGAACCCCUGAAGAUGGGCGGAGGCUAUAGGGAGUUUCUGCUCUAUUUUCACCACAAGAAGAUGUACAGCACAUUGCCUUUCAGUGUUCAUCUCUGUUUCUGUGUGUCCGUUCAACCGAGCAGUCAGGCGGCCCUCAGAUCCUGAAUCCCAUCAAAUCAGAGGUGCCAACUCUCACGCAUUGACCGUGAGACACAUGGAUUUGACCCUCAUCUCAUGCAACCACGGCACACCUCUUACAUCUCACACAUUGAAAAGUACUGCAUUUAUUUUUCUAAUUCGUGUUGUGCUCCAAAUCGUUUUGAAAUUGGAAAAUCUGCGACCGAGGUUAAGACUCAGGUUGAUUCAGGUUGGAUAUUCGCCUGUAGUUUUCCUUAUGUCCACCAACAGCAGUUAGGGACCGUCAACAUAUGUCACUAUCACAUUUUUCACAUUUCAAUAGCUCUUUAACCAUUACUCCUAAAAUGUUCAAAACUGAUUCUCGCUAACCCAAUGUCAGAGACACAUAUUGCACACACGUUUUUUUGUCGAUUUACAUCUCGCACUAUUUUAAAUUAUUUAUGAAAAAAAUUGUACACAAACCUCUAAGGUUCAUAAUGUACACUCAGUGGGCCUACACAUUGCACACCCUUUUGCAUCUCAUGAGAUUUUAUGAGAAUUUUUUGAAGUUUCAAAUUUCAAUAGCUCCUUAUCGUCAUAUGACCUACAACCCUUUCAGAAUAUUCACUGAGUACUGAGGUUAAGACAGUUUCAGGUUGGAUAUUCGCCAGAUAUUCGCACUUUCAAACCUCAAUAGCUUUCAAACCACUUGAGCCACAGACUCCAAAUAAGUGUCAUGAUGUUGGAAACAUUGCGCACAACAUUGCACAGGUCUUAUUUUCACGAUUUGGACAUGAAUUCACUUUUCAAAGCUAAUAAACGUGGAAAUGUGAGCAGCGUUCCAUAUUAGUUAGGGAGUGUAAACAAAGUACAAACUUGCUUUACAUUUGAAUUUCAAUAGCUCUUUGGUCAUGUGACCUACUGGACUAAAAGAAGGUUCAGAAUGUCCACUGACUACCCUUCUAUAUUACACACCCAUUUGUUUGCCUCUUUUCAUUUCAGGUGAUUUUACAUGAAUUUUUCAAUCUUUAGAAUUUCAAUAGCUCCUCGGUCAUGUGACCUACUGACCUCAAACAAACUGAAGGUUCACCUAAGAAGUAUGCAGUGGAUAUAUACCCAUAUUGCAUAACCUUUAGUUAUGUAUCUUCUAUAUUGUUGUAGAUGAAUAUUAGUUUGACAAUUAGGGGGUUCAGUCCAGUGUUAUGGUUACCCUUUUCUUUAAUGUUUAUCUAUAAUAAUUGGUAGUUCUGAGUACUUAUUUUUCCUUUCCUUAAGUAUUUAUUUUGCCACAGUAUUUACCACCGUUACACAAUAGGAGAGAUAAAGAGAAUAUCUCCCUCCAUCGUUAAUAUGAACCAUAAAGGAAAAGGGUAAAUUACGAGAGUCAUAUUAUUAAUUGUCCAAAGCAGGGAUGGAGAGUUAACUGCACGGCCAAAGUCAAAAUUAACAGAACUAGUUAGUAGUAUACAUUUAUGUACCAGGGAAAACAAGGCUUUGACUUGAAAUAACUUACCAGUCACACAAAAAGCUUAGUCUUUGAUAUUUCAACCCUAGUAAGGACAAAAAUGCUUUUAGACCUACAAGCUACAUUGAAGCUUCAGACUAUUGUUUCUGUGGGCCAUUUGACAGGUAGUUUACAUCAACAUGGAAAAGCACAGUCUCCAGUCCGACAGGGAAUAAGCAUCUGGUUCAAACAUAUUGUUAAAGAAUAUUCAUAAUAGCAGAACCUGUGUUGCUUUGUUCGUUGACUAUAAACAUUGCCAGAUUGUUUACAUGACGGUGCCUGUAUCAUUCAGCAAUAGCAAAUGUUAUCUCUCUGGCGGCAAACAGACUUGCUGUCUCCAGCUGACCAUUUGCCCACUGGCCUGGGCAAAUGUGCGUCUUUGUCAUCUUAUCAAAGACCACGUUGUCCUUAACCACGACAGCUUUCCCAAGGGAAAAAGCAGAGUCAUACAGACAUUCUAAAUUACUCAUAAAACACCUCAGGAAUUCUCGUUUUCUUCAAAGAUGAAAGGAUUCCCUCUAAGAUAGUCAUACAAAUGUAAGCAUUUGAAAUGCAUUUAUUAGUGUAUUUCUUAUUAUUACCUUGUAAAAGUUGAAUGUAGUUACAGGUGAAGAUGGGCCUGCUAUGUAAUUGUUAGUUGUGUAGUUCUAACUUUUUAUAAACAUUUUGUAAUAUAGAAUAAUUAUUUAUGACAAAAGAUGUGGAAGUUUACAGGUUUAUUCAAGAAAUUGGAUGUAAGAAAUCUGCAGAUUGUCCUCCAUUAAAUUAACUAAUGGUCUUUGAA